GGAUGCGAUCAUAGCAGCACUAAAGCACCGGAUCCCAUCAGAACUCCGUAGUUAAGCGUGCUUGGGCGAGAGUAGUACUAGGAUGGGUGACCUCCUGGGAAGUCCUCGUGUUGCAUUCC
rnacentral:rRNA from 3 species